rnacentral:ncRNA from 1 species
UGGCUCUAUGGGAAUGCGAUGAAAAGGGAAUCAGGUGCAAGUCCUGAACAGACCCGCUGCUGUAAAAUCCUUUCAAAAUCUUGAAUAUACUCCAAUAGCCACUGUCUGCUGGUCGGAUGGGAAGGCAUUCAAAGAUGGAUAAGUCAGAAUACCUGCCAAGAACAA